GAUGAACGCUGGCGGCGUGCCUAAUACAUGCAAGUCGAGCGAACAGACGAGGAGCUUGCUCCUCUGACGUUAGCGGCGGACGGGUGAGUAACACGUGGAUAACCUACCUAUAAGACUGGGAUAACUUCGGGAAACCGGAGCUAAUACCGGAUAAAAUAUUGAACCGCAUGGUUCAAUAGUGAAAGACGGUUUUGCUGUCACUUAUAGAUGGAUCCGCGCCGCAUUAGCUAGUUGGUAAGGUAACGGCUUACCAAGGCAACGAUGCGUAGCCGACCUGAGAGGGUGAUCGGCCACACUGGAACUGAGACACGGUCCAGACUCCUACGGGAGGCAGCAGUAGGGAAUCUUCCGCAAUGGGCGAAAGCCUGACGGAGCAACGCCGCGUGAGUGAUGAAGGUCUUCGGAUCGUAAAACUCUGUUAUUAGGGAAGAACAAAUGUGUAAGUAACUAUGCACGUCUUGACGGUACCUAAUCAGAAAGCCACGGCUAACUACGUG
rnacentral:rRNA from 1 species